AAUGGUUGGACUUCUGGAACCAUUCUUCUUUUGCAGUGCCCAAUGUUGAGCUUGGUUGUGAAGUUGAGAAGGGAAGGAAGAGAGAUUGGAUGGCCCAAGAUUGGCCCUGCAGCAUCCCAGAUACUAUACAUUCCCUUAAAUGAGAAACCAUG